AAUUUAACAUGGCUGGAAAUUUAUAUUUCUAAUUAAUGCUGAUAUUGAAUUACAACAUUUACUUAUAAUGUGUGGCGGGAAAUUUUCCCACAUUUUUAACUGAGUAAGGUAAGUGGUAAAAGUAUGGAAGUGGAGAGAUUGCCUGGGGAGAAGAAUGCUUGCUGUAUAGACAUGAGGAUUUGAGUUUGGCUCUAAGUAUCCACCAAGUAAUGUGGCUAUGUCUGGAGCCAUAUAAAGAGAACUUGGAAGAUACUAAGUAUGGGUUUGUGAACUACAAGCACAGAAUAUCAACGAAACACUCGAUAAUAGGACUCAAUCAGAGCAUGCCAUCCAUGUAGGAGAAAGGCAUGGCUGUUCAUUCUCUCCAUGCUUGUCUUAAUGAAAAGAAGUAGAUUUAAAGUUCAGUAUAAGCUAAUAAAUAUGUUAAAGAUUCUUGACUAAAAUAUUCAGGAGGAAUUAGACAUUUAUAUUUCAGUGAACUAAAAUAUAUUUCAUGAAUUUUAAUUUGCAGAUGCUAAAGGUGGGACAGAGGAGCUGAAACACUCCUCUGAGCACCUGCCUAACAAAACUUCAAUACGACAGUGGAGAAGGAGAUGCUGUUCAAACCACUCCCAGCCAACAGUGACUGGAAUGAGCUAAAAUGUCUACAACCUUUUUCACCAUAGAACAAAUAUAUGAAUUCACCAAAUAAAGAAUGACAGCUCUCAGGAAUUGUUUCCUAGGGACCAAACAAGAUCUGCUGAGAUCCAGCCUCAUCAAUGAUUAGAGUUGAUUUAUUCUAUGGAAGGCAUCUUCUUCAUCACUAUACAAGUUUCACACUGGAGAUUAUGCAGAGUGAGCACAAGUAUGGAAUUUUAGGAAAAAGAACAAAAUAUGGAUACGAUGAAACAGAGUGUAAAAGUUGCAAGAUUUUUUGGCAGUGUGUGUCAUUUGUUAAUCCCCCAAAGGAGAAAUACUUCAAUAUUGGUUUUUAGCCUCCAUGGAAGUAUAAAAAUUCAACGAGUAACAGAGCAGUCUAUAUGAUAAAGAAGGGACAAUGGUGGUUACAGAAGCAAUCAAAGCCACAUCAACAACAAUGCUCGAAGCCACAUCAACAAUAAUGCUCGCAGUGACUGAGGCUGUCAGCUCUGGGCAAUGUUGGCUGCCUAAAAGCCAGUGAGACCCACAUGGUGCAUGUACCUGUCAUGUGUUUUAACAAUUGGAAAAAAAGUGUUAUUUUUCUCAAUAAAGAAUAAAUGAGUACGUUUGAGAUUAGUUAAAGAACUUUAGAUGGAUCUCACUAAAUCUAGCAAGUAAAGACUCUAAUCUCUUCUUGUAUUUAGAAACUGGAAUUUCAACAUUGUUAGGCUAUGCUUCAUUCUGAUUACAUACACGGCAGGGCUCCAAAUUUCCACCUUACAAUGGGGUAGAAAUUGCAGGUUUAUCAAAAGACCUUAGAACAAGGAAUGUGUCCUAUAUACAUCAAUUAGCAGGCUAAUUAUUCAUUUCUUUGCAGUUGCCAAAGCACUGUACAUAAACAUUACCAAUGGCAAUAAUGAUUGAAUCUAUUCAUUUAUAAAGACAUGGUUUCCACUUGAGAAUGUAAAGUGUCAUACAGGCCUCCAUCUGGGUUUUAUCUUGUUUCUUAAAUUACAGCAUUAGGAUUGCUAGCUUUAACCUACAUGAGAAAACUCCCAAUGCAUAGAUUACAUAGCUUUGAGAAAUUAAGAUCACUGAUUCCAGCAAACACACAAAAUCAAUACCUCUGGGUAAUUAUCUAUUUGUUCUAGUUAAUGUAGAUGCUCACUCUCAUUUCUCUUCAAUGAAUAUAAGUUUCAGAUUUACUGAGUGAAAUUGUUGUAUGAUACAUUGACAAAAUUUUAGUAGGGUGGGUAGAUACUAUGUCCAAUAUUUUCAUUAUAAUAAUCAUAAAAAAUUUCCUUGAACUUAAAUAUGUAUGUAUAUAUUCAUAACACAAAUGUCAUUAAAUCACUGGAAGUUUAAUAGACACCUGAAGCAAUAUGUAUGACAUCUUUUGUCACUAACCUAAAUCUUGUCUCCUCAAUCCCAGUUAAGGUUACCAUCAUCCCUCUAUGGUACCCUCACUCCCACAUCCAAUCUGACACAAAUUUGACCUAUCCUACCUUUGAGAAAGAUCUACAGUUUCAUCUCAGAUUCUCACCUCCAGGCCAUAGUUUACCAUCAACUCAGUCUUUCUACAUCUGGAGGCCCAGUCUCUCUCCUUGUUGACCCACAGAUCAGCUAAAAGGCCGUCUUUUCAAUUAUAGGAGUUAGAUUUCUCAUUCUGCAUCCCAAAUGACCUUAGCAGUUUCCCAUUUCUUGCCAAUUUCUCUGACUGAGUUCAAGUCAUAUUAGUAACCCCAAGGUCCCUGAAAGACUGUGCAUCUGACCUGGUUGUCUCCCCUUUUCCACCUCACUGGCUCAGCACUGUUCUAGCCACACCCUUGAAUUUCCUCUCUUCUCAGAAAAGUGCUCCUCUGACUUCUUCCCCUGGUGUCUCUUCUGGUAAGUAAGCUUGCUGCUCCAGACAGUGUGGCUCUCCCCCUCCCUCUAAGCUCUUUGUUCAUAUGUGACAUGCCAUCUGAGAUAGCUUGAGCAAUCUGAUUUAAACUACAUUCUGUCCAUGCCCCAAAAUGCAAUUCCCUCUUUGUUGACAAUCUUGUCACUUAAACUAGGCAUGGAGAGUAAUCUUUGAUGUAAAAGAUGCUCAAUAAUGGGGGUAAUAAAAAAGUGUAACAUAGACAUCAAAUAGCUAUGUAGUACACAUAUGAAUUAGUCUGAUAGCAAAUCACCUUUCCUUGGUAAUGGUCAUUUUCAUUUCAUUGAGCCACUUCAUUUCUUAGUCUAACACCAAAAUAUACUGAGUGCUUUACUUAGCGCCAUAUCAAAGACUAAAAUGAAUUUACCAAUUAAAAUAAUGGAUUCUAAAAAUUGCUGUAUUUUUGUGUUUUUAAAACAUCUACUUGGUACAGCAUGCUGAAGGUGCUAGUUUUUUAGGAAAGGAAGAAAUUUCCUCCCUAGGCAUCUUGGCAGGCUGAUUAUGUCCAUGUUCUGAUAUGAAUAUUUCCAAGUAUGAGCAUCAUUGAGAAUAACUUUUAACUAGAGGUAUAUGUCUCCAUCAGAAAUUCACAGGGUAAGGUUUGAUUUUCCUUCUAUCAACUUAAGAUUAUAAUUAAUUUCAAGGUAACCCACACAUUUGUAAUGCAGACAUUUUCUUUGGGCAACCUCAAAGUUGGACAGAAGCCUCUGAGGCAAUAUUAUUAGUAUGCUUGGGAUUUACUCUGGCAAUUCUAUUAGAUUAGAUAUGUUCUCCAAGGGGCUAUUUCACAUUUAGUAGAAAACAAUGAGAACUUCCACUGGUUCAUAUUCUAUUCCACAAUAAUUCCUUUUUUGUAUUUGCUACUUUUCAACAUUUUUAUAAAUACCAUAUUUACAUAAAAGGUUGAGAAUAUUCCCCCAUAACUUAAAUUGUGUAUCAAAAUAGCCUUUGAUGGGAAAUGUUAGCCAAAGAUUCCCUGAGAAUCUAUAAACAAUUUAGCACUAUAUAUUAAGGAAAGAGUACCUUUACUUUUGCAAUGAGGUUCCUUUAAGUCACCCAGUUGUCUUGGAAUUAGGUAUCCAGAAGUCUGCUUCUCUCUCGACAUCAGAAGAAAUCACCCUGAGAACUGCUCUGUCUCUAUGUGGCUCUGUUCUAAAAAGCCCCUCCUCUUGCUAGCAUCUGUCUAUUUAUUUCAGAUACAGAACAGAUACUGAUCAUCUUAAAGCAUAAAGCCGGUGCUAGGACCAGGGUGUAAUUGAAACAGAAGCAACAGAAAACCGAGUUGUUCCAAAAUCAUUCUGUUAGAAAAUGAAGUAGACAAAGGAACUGAAAAGCCCAUUCAUCGAGCUCUAAUCUCUACUGCCAGGUGAAUAAGUAUGAACACAGGCUACCAUCGCUGCAAAUAUUAGCAUCAUGCAAAUUGCAAGUAGAUGAUUUGUAAAUACAUAAUAAUCAUCUUAGGACCUGUCCUAAGGGGAUGACCCUUACUAAAAACUGUGGGACAGCAUAACCAAUACCAUUUGCCUAACACAAGGGAGUUCUUAGGUAUUUGAUAAUAAUAACUUUCACCACUAUCAUUGAGAAACCUAAGUUUAGUAAGUUGAGGUACACAUAGCUUUCCUUGUAGAUGUUCUUUCUGGCUCAGUAAAGAACAGCCACCAAGGGAUGAUCAAGGCUGUUUACUGAUUUUUUUUCUUCUAAUCCUGGGUUGCACAGAUUAAAAAUAAAAUUCUUAUGUAUUUGGGAAAGUAACCAAAUUACUGCUAUGUUUGGCUAUUUCAUUCAAUUCAGAAAAAGACUGUCUGGAUAUAUAGUUUUUAACACUAAGGACAAGCAAAACAGCUUGUGGUACUCUGCAAUGAUUAAUAGAAAAGAGGUUUGGAUUAAUCACAAGGACACGAGGAAGCCAAAAUUAGAGAAGGCUAUUAGGAGAUUCUGCUGUUUAAUCUCACUCGGUAUCGAAACAUUAACCUUGUUUUCUCUGCCUGAACACCGAGUCCUAGAGUAAAAUUAGGUCAGAAAUUCACAUCACAUCAGAUCAAGAGAUUCAUGGCAGCCCAGGCACCUGCAAGCUGUGGAUGGCAGAGGGCUUAGCUCCAGUGCUUGUCUAAGCCUAGAAGCAAUGGCUAGCUAGAGGCUACCCCUGAGCUACCUGUAGAUAAUUUCUUUAUACUGUAAGGCUAGCUGUAGAGCCCUGUUUCUGAACCUUUGUUCAUUUAGCUGUCUUCACUUUGCUUAUGGAAUGAUGAUUUUGGUAUCUUUUCUAAUGCAAAUGUAGGAAACUUGCCAUUGCUGCAUGCCUGUGUUGAGAACAAAUGCACUGGGGAGAGCUGUAUGUGACCAGAGUAGUAGUUCAUUCUACGCUGAGGGUAUAUAGCAUUCACAAAAUGGACAUCAAUGCAUUUUCUGUUACCACAAUGUUUUCCAUUAUGUUAUGAGUAGGAUUCCAAAAGCCAAAACUAACUAAAUUAUUUGUAUCAAUGACCAUAUGUCUGUGAUAAGCAUUCUCUGUGUAACUAUGACUAUGGAAAUAAAACAAACUGAUUUGCAAA